AGGCAAACUCACCAAGAGAAUCUGAAAUCCUUUUUCUCCAAGUCACUUGUCAGGGGGUCAUCUUUGUUUCCAAACUUGUGCUUUGCUCUCUCCCGGUGCGACCUGUGGGUGAGUGCACCCCCUCUGGAAAAACAAGGAAAGUGCAGCUAUAUUCAGACAGAGACUAUCCUCCUUGUAUCCAUUCUCCUAGCCGGUGGCAGCUGGAAGGCAAACUCUCUUUAAGUAAGAAGCAGACCUCCUUUCUUUCCUGAAGGACAUUGUCACUUAGCUCUCAAAUCUGCCUGUGAUGGUGCUUUAUCAAUCUGCACUACACAGAGUGGUCUGACUGCUCAAAUAUCUCCAGGGGAUGGAUCCAGAGUCAGGCCGUGACCACAUGGAGCUGAGUGAGAAGACUAGCCUGUACAGCAGAUAGCUUCUGUCUCGGGAUUGUUCUCUCAAGUUACCCUCUUCUUGCAAAGACACAUUGCUCUCAUGGGGUGCCUAGGAUCCAUCCUGGGUUCUUCCACACAAGUGGGCAUAAUGCAGCUAUCAAGAGCUGUCGCUGUGGUGGCCUAGGAUUCUGGCUCUGGUGCCUGUGAACCACGCCGCGACAUCUAUGGAGAAGUAUCUCACGCCUUUGCUAGGGAUCCAGUGUCACUGUCUCAGUGAGGGGACAGGACACACGGUUUGGAAAAGCUUCUUUCUUCUCUAUCUGAGACUCAUAUCUUAAACUUUUUUUUUUUUUAAUUGUGGGAUCCUGGGUGUGAUAUCUUUCUUGGUUUAAUCUAAAUAUAGUUUGGGGCAUGAAGAAAAUGCUUAGAAAGCCUACGGCUUGCUGAUGUCAGAAGGAGAGAGUGUUAGUUUGCAUUUUGCCAAACUGGCUUUUACACAGAUCACAUUUCACUCAAUGGCCAGGGUUUUGACUCUUGCCAGCAUGAUGUUUAAAAUAAUCAGUAUCUUGGUCCAUAGCUACAGUCCCUUGGCAAGUCUGCCAAGAUAACUGGCCUCCAGUGCUAGCUGUGGAGGUUUGAACAGAUCUCAGUACGAAGGAAAUGUUUACGUUAUUGGAAGCGCGUGUUUCUAUGGGGGGAGAUGGUGUAUAAUCUGUACAUAAACUCGAGGCGGGCUGGUAGUACUUGUACGAAAGAGAUAAGUCUUUGGGGGCGAUUUCUAUGCUACCUGGUGUCUCUGAACACGAGGCUUUGAGAGAGCGGCUUUGCUCCUCAAUUUCAAACCUCUUUUAAUUGUUAGAAUAAUAUAUAGUAAACGUAUCUGAACACUUUUUAAAAAUUAAAUUAAUAGUUCCACCAUGUUCUGGCAUAUUCUGUUGUUCCAAACCAUCUGUAACUUACAUAUCAUAUUUACAACCCUUCCACUGAGGGUUUCUUUUUGAUCACAAGCACUCGAUUUUAGAGGUUCCCAGCAUUCAUAUUUAUAAUUCAAUAGUUUAUCACCUUCACAAAGAAAUUGGGUGGGUGCUGAUUUCCCCAUCCCUGUGCAGCUUGCCCCUUCUUGCUGGCUUCUUACCUUUCAGCGUUACCACUUCUGGGAACAUCAGUGUGUCUGUAGCAAAUUCUUUUUUUGUGUGUGUGUGUUGGAAUAAAUUGCCCAGACGGAGACAGAAUAGUAACAGUUUCUUGGCCUUUGAUGUGAAUUGUUGCACUGAUUUGUUAAAGAUCAGUAGAGAGUUUGCCUUGUGGCUCACAGUGGUUGAACGGCUUGUGCUGCCAAGGCAGGGGCGGUACUCACAGUGUAUUAACAGGUAGAGUUAUUAGCUCCUGCCCUUCCAAACUGAGGCCAGCUAGCCAGCCCAUUGGGUACACUGCUUGAUCGGCAACCUUAUUCAGACAGCCAAGGUUUAGUUGCUCCGGGACACCCUUUCCCUGGUGUCACGCUCCACCCUCUUCUUUUUCAUUCUCAGUCUCUAGCUGUCUAAUGCUUCUUUGGUGAGGUAUCGAUAGUAGACAAGUGGUGUUUUCCUGAGUAGUUGCUCUGCUUUCACUCUUAUUCGCCCACUUAACCCUGGAAUAAUCCUGUGAGGGUGAAUCACUCCCAUCCCAUAGCCAUGCAUACUGAAGUUUGCCCAGGUGCACAGAGAUGCAACCUUACAACCUAGAGUCAAACCCAGCCUGGAUGGCCCCUAGGGUUUCAGUGACAAGCCUGCCUGGGCUGUGGGAUGCUGGAGAUGCAGGGUGUCAGGGAGAAGGGGGACAGGAUGGGGGCUGGACUGUCAGAGGAGCUGAAGCUAGGGUGCCUUAGCUUCCCCUGUAUUCUUUCGGUUCCUAUAUUAUUAAGCAUUUCCAUUAGCUUAUGCCGUAUUUAUUCGCAGCUGUUAAAUGUUAGAUGACGUCAGAGGAGGGAGGAUGUAUUUAAAGCCCAGUUACUAAAAUGUCUAUUUUGACUUUAAAGAAGUCUUCUGCCUUACACUUGUCUCAUGUCUCUUUAAUCUAUAGUCACUUCUAACAGAGAACAUUCAGGAUCUAGCAGCUCUUUAGGGGAUUCUCGCCAAAUCUCACUUAAGCGUGGACCCCUUUGUUGAAUCAUCACCCAGACAUAUCCUUCUCUAUUUACUGUCUAUGAAACCGUCGGCGUCUAUUCUGGCCCAUUAUGGAGCCAUCUAUGUAGUUUGAGAUUAAACCAUGAUUGCUUUCCCG